GUCAAGGUGGCAGCUGUAACUGUGUGAUCAAAGAUGCCAUCUUGACUUUUUUUUUUCUUUUCAGCCAGGCGUAGGAGCAUGGAGACCAUUUAAAGAAGUUGUACUUCUACCAAUAUGUUGGUCUUAAUCUCUCCCUCCUUCCCUAAUCUCUAUGAUUCACAUCAAAUUACUUUGCUUUUUUUUUUUUUAAUUCCUCUAGCCUAUCUGGAUACCAUCCGAUUCUUUUUGAUGUUGGCCUUCAUCUGCACCUUAGUCGCUUUUGUCUCAUCACGAGAUUUUCUAACUCGUCUCUUGCAAACAAAGAUUACGGAACACGUCAUUUCUUCAUCAGCUAACUUCUUUGCAGGAGCCUUCCUGAUGAGUUUGCUAUUGCUUACGUACUUCCGGCUUAGAAUUAUGAUUAAUAAAAAGGAGAGCAGUGCAACACCUUCAUGGGGUUUCUUUGGAAGUUGCUUCGUUUGUCUACACUGUUUUUUCUUAGGCACACUCAGUCUACUGAAGUAUAAAAGCCUUCCCUUAAUGAGGAAAAGUUUCAGCUCGGACUUCUCAAGGAAAAUACUGCUCAUGGACAGGCUGAAAGGAAAGCAGAGCACUCAAAUAACAGUAGUUCAGAGUCCCAGAAUUCAAUAAAUGAUGGUUCGAUGCUUCCCAAGCAAUCAACGGCCCAUAUAUCUCAUGGCACUCAGUCUUCUUGAUGAGCUGCUAAAAUCAGGCUCUGGACUCUGGACCACAGGUACUCUAGGAGGCCUCUGGGAUCUAGAACUCCCAGUGUGAGAUACACAGUUGCACCUUGGCAGUUUGUUCCUUUCGAACAGUCAUCCUCUAGGAAUGCCCUGCUGGAUUACCCUCAUCCAAUCCAUUAACAGGAGAAGUUCUUUUCAGGAGCAUUUUGCAACAACUCCUCAUUUCUGUCCAAAAUGCAACACCCCCUUCUCAUUUUCCCUGCCAAUGUCUUCUUUCGCCUUGUUUCUUUAGUGCAUCAUUAAAAAUAAACCUUUUAUUUAGUGGC